rnacentral:rRNA from 1 species
UACGGAGGAUCCGAGCGUUAUCCGGAUUUAUUGGGUUUAAAGGGUGCGCAGGCGGAAUAUUAAGUCGGCGGUGAAAGUUUGCAGCUUAACUGUAAAAUUGCCGUUGAUACUGGUAUUCUUGAGUGUAUAUGAAGUAGGCGGAAUUUGUAGUGUAGCGGUGAAAUGCAUAGAUAUUACAAGGAACUCCGAUUGCGAAGGCAGCUUACUAAAUUACAACUGACGCUUAGGCACGAAGGCGUGGGUAUCAAACAGGAUUAGAUACCCUGGUAGUCCCUGA